rnacentral:lncRNA from 1 species
ACGUCCGCGUCGACCAGGUCCAGCGGAGACGGGAACAAGAUGGCGAUCCCGGGCAGGCAGUGAGUGAUGGGGAAGUUAGGGUCCGGCUGGGGAGUAAGAAGCCAGGGAGACUGAGUCUUUAGGCCGAGGCGUCUGAGGUCGCCGGAAGUGCAGGGCCACCCCCGCCCCGGUUAAAGGCGGGAGAAGGCGAGGAAUUCCGAGCCACUUAGGUUCCCCACCCCCCGUCCGGUACAUUUUUCCAGGUUGCAAGCCCGAAGUUUGAGAAACUUGUGAGGAAAUAAAGGAAGUUAGGCUGAGGGGCAGAGAGCGAGACUUUUCUAUUUUCCAAAAGCUCGGUCUGAGGCCCCUCAGUCUUGCUUCCUACCCCGCGCUUGAGUUUCUCCCGGUUGGAUGCGCUCAGGGGCACCGAGAAGAGAAACUCCUGGUUGCCUUUGAGGGCCUCGUUCUCCCUGGCAGAUGCUCAGGCAAGACCAGCCUCCCGCCCUCCCUCCUGGGGUUACGAGUGUGGUGCUGAGAAGCCACAGAAAAGAGUAGGCAUAUAGGAAACUGGUCUUCGCUGCCGGGAAAGACACAGAUACGGUUUACCUGCCUGGAAAUUUAUUCUUGGGCGUGUAAACCUUGCAGUGCCAAGCAUGUCCCGUGGCCUUUGCAUUUUAAAGCCAAAACCUCGAGAAACGAAACGUAUUAAAUCUGGUGAUGGCCAAACCCAGGCACUAUUGCAUGUGCCAGCAAGAUUUUGCUGAAAGGACCCUGAUAUAGCUGUCUUGAGUGAGGCUAUGCCAGUGCCUGGCAAAUACAGAAGUGGAUGCUCACAGUCACCUAUAGGAUGGACCACAGGGCCCCCAAUGGAGGCGCUAGAGAAAGUACCCAAGGAGCUGAAGGGGUCUGCAACCCUAUAGGUGGAACAACAAUAUGAACUAACCAGUACCCCACUGGAGCUCGUGUCUCUAGCUGCAUAUGUAGCAGAAGAUAGCCUAGUCGGCCAUCAUUGGGAAGAGAGGCCCAUUGGUUGUGCAAACUUUAUAUGCCCCAGUACAGGGGAACACCAGGGCCAAGAAGUGGGAGUGGGUGGGCGGGGGGGGGGGUAUAGGGAACUUUUGGGAUAGCAUUUGAAAUGUAAAUAAAGAAAAUAUCUAGUUACAAAAAAAAUGUGGUGAUGGUUUUCAGAGGCGCUGAAGCAAAGCAAACGAGCCCAGUGGACGGAUGGGAACUUGCCCCCAUGGUGACUUGCUCGCAGACAAAAGCAAUUGAGCCAAAUAAGUGAAUGGGGACUUGCCCGAAUCUCUACGUGGGUUUCUUAGUCAAUUUUUCAAGAUCUUAGCUACUGUGUGGGAAAAAAAUCAGAGGACAGUUUAGAACAUUUUGGUUUUUAGCAAGUUUGCAAAAACCACUAGCCUGUUUAGGAUUCCUGUCACUUCACUAUCUAAAACAUUGCUGUAGUCUUCAUUUUCUCCUUUAGUAAAAAUGUUUUGAGUUUGGCCCAGGUAGACAAAUAAUAAUAACAACUAUAAAAUGACAUUAGAAUUUUGAGGUCGUUGCAAAGCGGUUAGUCCAUUAUGUGUUCAUAGGUUGUAUGACAUGUUUUGAUUUGGGAAGUUCAUAAGGAAGAAGUAGUGGAUGUGUUAUGUUCUUUAAAUGUUUAUGUUAUUUAAAGAUAAUGGUGCGAUUUCUAUUUCAAAAAAAAAUUACGCAGGUAUGGGCUUAUUUUGCCAAAGAAAACACAGCCGUUGCACCGAGUUUUACAGAAACCGUCAGUGUUUGGGAGUGAUUCUGAUGACGAUGAGGUAAGGGGCCCUAUGCUUAACUCAUGUAUUUUAAAAACUGCUUGUGAAUUUGUCUUCACCUUUGUUUAUCAGUACAGUGGUUCUGGAGUAUCUUUACAGACCCUUCAAAAAAAAAAACAACCUUUAAAAAGCACUCAAUUGCUAUUUUCUGUAUGACCAAAGAUGACCCCCCCCCCCAUAAACUUAGUCAUUUUUAGAUAGUUUGGUACACUCUUUAUAGUCACUUAAAUACCAGUGACCUAGCUGGCUUGGAAUUUAAUGUGUAGACCAAACUGGCUUUGGACUCAUAAGGCUCUGCCUGCUUCUGCAUCUGCCCUCUGUGUGCAGGAUUAAAGGCCCGUGAUUCAGUACCUAGCAGUGUUACAUGUCUUUGUUACUUAGGGUACGUGGCUAGGCUUUGUAGGAUCUAAUUCUGUUGUAAACUGAAGGCCAUCUGCAUAAUGUCGCUUUCAACCAGUUUAGAGUUCAUCGACAGAGAUGCAUGCAAACACUGAGGCAGGCUGAAAUGUGGAAAGAAAAAUAACUGAGGAUUUUUCUGUGCCUACUAUACUUUGAUCUUCACAAUUACCCUCUAUUACUUUCAUUUUACUGAUGAAGUUGGAAUUCAAAUAGGUUAAGGAAUUUUCCCAUUACUAGGCCUUGCAGCUCAUAAAUAAAUGGCAAGACCACGGCUCAAACACAGCAGACGGAUUAGAUGGUUCCGACCGUAAGUCACCAGCUAUCCAGCCUGGCAGCCUGAGCUCAGUGUCUGGGUGGAGGGAGAGAACUGACUCUCAGUUUGUCCUCUGACUUCCACUUGUAUGUCGUGGCCCCUGUGUGGACACACACACACACACACACACACACACACACACACACAUACACACAAGCAAAUAGAUGCAAUAAUAAGAUUUGAGCACAGGUCUAUCAAAUUCUAAAAUCUACAUUUUUUUCCCAUUCUUCUUUCUUGCUUUAUUUUGAUAAUAGACCUUUAAAAUGUUAGUGAAAUAGAGAGGACAAAACCGCUCAUUUUGCUGAAGAAAUACCCAGGCAGGAAUAGGCAUUUGGACAGCUUUCAAAGCUGGUUUAGAUUUGAG